CAUGGUUGUCGUCAGCUCGUGUCGUGAGAUGUUGGGUUAAGUCCCGCAACGAGCGCAACCCUUAUUGCUAGUUACCAUCAUUGAUUGGGGACUCUAGCGAGACUGCCAGCGAUAAGCUGGAGGAAGUGGGGAUGACGUCAAAUCAUCAUGCCCCUUAUGACCUGGGCUACAAACGUGAUACAAUGGCUGGAACAAAGGGAGGCGAAGGGGUGACCUGGAGCGAAACCCAAAAAUACAGUCUCAGUUCGGAUUGAAGUCUGCAACUCGACUUCAUGAAGUCGGAAUCGCUAGUAAUCGCGGAUCAGAACGCCGCGGUGAAUACGUUCUCGGGGUUU
rnacentral:rRNA from 1 species